rnacentral:rRNA from 1 species
GCCCAGACUCCUACGGGAGGCAGCAGUCGAGAAUCAUUCACAAUGGGGGAAACCCUGAUGGUGCGACGCCGCGUGGGGGAAUGAAGGUCUUCGGAUUGUAAACCCCUGUCAUGUGGGAGCAAAUUAAAAAGAUAGUACCACAAGAGGAAGAGACGGCUAACUCUGUGCCAGCAGCCGCGGUAAUACGGAGGAUGCGAGCGUUAUCCGGAUUUAUUGGGUUUAAAGGGUGCGUAGGCGGGAUGCCAAGUCAGCGGUAAAAAUGCGGUGCUCAACGCCGUCGAGCCGUUGAAACUGGCGUUCUUGAGUGGGCGAGAAGUAUGCGGAAUGCGUGGUGUAGCGGUGAAAUGCAUAGAUAUCACGCAGAACUCCGAUUGCGAAGGCAGCAUACCGGCGCCCUACUGACGCUGAGGCACGAAAGCGUGGGUAUCGAACAGGAUUAGAUACCCGAGUA